rnacentral:rRNA from 1 species
CCUACGGGAGGCAGCAGUGAGGAAUAUUGGUCAAUGGACGAGAGUCUGAACCAGCCAAGUAGCGUGAAGGAUGACUGCCCUAUGGGUUGUAAACUUCUUUUAUAUGGGAAUAAAAUGUUCCACGUGUGUGAUUUUGUAUGUACAAUAUGAAUAAGGAUCGGCUAACUCCGUGCAAGCAGCCGCGGUAAUACGGAAGAUCCGAGCGUUAUCCGGGUUUGUUGGGUUUAAAGGGAGCGUAGUUGGAUUGGUAAGUCAGUUGUGAAAGUUUGCGGCUCAACCGUAAAAUUGCAGUUGAUACUGGCAGUCUAGAGUAAAGUAGAGGUGGGCGGAAUUCGUGGUGUAGCGGUGAAAUGCUUAGAUAUAACGAAGAACUCCGAUUGCGAAGGCAGCUCACUGGACUGCAACUGACACUGAGGCUCGAAAGUGUGGGUAUCAAACAGGAUUAGAUACCCUUGUAGUC